rnacentral:tRNA from 2 species
GGAAAGGUGCAGGAGUGGCUUAACUGGCACGCCUGGAAAGCGUGUGUACCUGCAAGGGUACCGAGGGUUCGAAUCCCUCCCUUUCCGCAA